rnacentral:rRNA from 1 species
UGGGGAAUAUUGCACAAUGGGCGCAAGCCUGAUGCAGCCAUGCCGCGUGUGUGAAGAAGGCCUUCGGGUUGUAAAGCACUUUCAGCGAGGAGGAAGGUGGUGAGCUUAAUACGCUCAUCAAUUGACGUUACUCGCAGAAGAAGCACCGGCUAACUCCGUGCCAGCAGCCGCGGUAAUACGGAGGGUGCAAGCGUUAAUCGGAAUUACUGGGCGUAAAGCGCACGCAGGCGGUUUGUUAAGUCAGAUGUGAAAUCCCCGGGCUCAACCUGGGAACUGCAUUUGAAACUGGCAAGCUAGAGUCUCGUAGAGGGGGGUAGAAUUCCAGGUGUAGCGGUGAAAUGCGUAGAGAUCUGGAGGAAUACCGGUGGCGAAGGCGGCCCCCUGGACGAAGACUGACGCUCAGGUGCGAAAGCGUGGGGCAGCAAACAGGAUUAGAUACCCUGGUAGUCCACGCUGUAAACGAUGUCGAUUUGGAGGUUGUGCCCCUUGAGGCGUGGCUUCCGGAGCUAACGCGUUAAAUCGACCGCCUGGGGAGUACGGCCGCAAGAUUAAAACUCAAUGAAUUGACGGGGUCAUAGCUGUUUCC